rnacentral:rRNA from 1 species
GCAAGUCGUGCGAGAAAGAUCUUCGGAUAUGAGUAGAGCGGCGAACGGGUGAGUAACGCGUAGGAAUGUACCUAGUAGAAGGGGAUAGCCCGAGGAAACUCGGAUUAAUACCGUAUACCUCCUUCGGGAGAAAGAAGGCCUCUCUUUGAAGCUUUCGCUACUAGAUCAGCCUGCGUAAGAUUAGCUUGUUGGUGAGGUAAUGGCUCACCAAGGCUACGAUCUUUAGCUGGUCUGAGAGGACGAUCAGCCACAUUGGGACUGAGACACGGCCCAGACUCCUACGGGAGGCAGCAGUGGGGAAUAUUGGACAAUGGGCGCAAGCCUGAUCCAGCCAUACCGCGUGUGUGAAGAAGGCCUUCGGGUUGUAAAGCACUUUAAGCAGGGAGAAAAAAAUAUAGGUUAAUACCCUAUGUUCUUGAUGUUACCUGCAGAAUAAGCACCGGCUAAUUCCGUGCCAGCAGCCGCGGUAAUACGGAAGGUGCAAGCGUUAAUCGGAAUUACUGGGCGUAAAGCGCGCGUAGGUGGUUUGUUAAGUUGGAUGUGAAAGCCCUGGGCUCAACCUAGGAACUGCAUCCAAAACUGACUGACUAGAGUACGAUAGAGGGAGGUAGAAUUCAUAGUGUAGCGGUGGAAUGCGUAGAUAUUAUGAAGAAUACCAGUGGCGAAGGCGGCCUCCUGGAUCUGUACUGACUCUGAGGUGCGAAAGCGUGGGUAGCGAACAGGAUUAGAUACCCCGGUAGUCCACGCCGUAAACG